UACGGAGGGGGCUAGCGUUGUUCGGAAUUACUGGGCGUAAAGCGCGCGUAGGCGGAUCUGCAAGUCGGGGGUGAAAUCCCGAGGCUCAACCUCGGAACUGCCUUCGAUACUGCGGGUCUCGAGUCCGGGAGAGGUGAGUGGAAUUCCUGGUGUAGCGGUGAAAUGCGCAGAUAUCAGGAGGAACACCCGUGGCGAAGGCGGUUCU
rnacentral:rRNA from 1 species